rnacentral:misc_RNA from 1 species
UAUCCACAUAUCAUUGGCCUCCAGGGUGCAUGUGUACAAUUAAUUUAUGUGUCCAUGUAACUCAGUCUAAAAAAGGGACUGCAUUCUGCCUAUAGUUGAGAUUUUCAUAAAGUGUGUGACAAUUGGAGGAAUAAUUUUUUGGCUGCCAUGAGAGUUUGUCUUAGCAAAUCCCGAGAAUUGGCAAGGUUGAGAUGAUAUGGAUUUGUGUCCUCUGAAAUUAGUUAGGGAUUUUCUUUUUAUGAUCAUAUAUUCCCUAUUUUAAAAUUUCCAUUGAUGAUUUGUCUUAAGCAUGGAUGUUAAGGCAGAAAGAAAAGAGAAAGUUAUUGGUUAAUGGUUACCGAUUAACUGUUCAAUCAUGCUUGCUUUUUGACCAUCAGUUUAAGUGAAUGAUAAAGUAAGCCUUCACGUAUGAUUGCAUCUUCUCAAGAAUGGAGUGGGGGGUUCAAUGUCGCUUGGUCUCUCGUCUUUGUUUUUUCUUUCCCCUUUUCAUUGUAGCUUUACCAUGCACUUAAGUGCUACCUGUGCGCUUGUAAAAUCCAAUCCGAGAAAGUACUGUGCAUUUUUCAUUCCCUUGUUGCUAGAUUUAAGAUGACAUUUGUUGUUUUGAUUUAUUAACAGAGUUUAGACAUGCUCGUGAUAUGUCCUGUGAUUGAGGAUAAAACCGAGUCAGUGAACAACUAAUUCAAUCCGCUUGUUACAGGCAUGUGUUAAGAGGAUU